UGGGGAAUAUUGCACAAUGGGCGCAAGCCUGAUGCAGCCAUGCCGCGUGUGUGAAGAAGGCCUUCGGGUUGUAAAGCACUUUCAGCGAGGAGGAAGGUGGUGAGCUUAAUACGCUCAUCAAUUGACGUUACUCGCAGAAGAAGCACCGGCUAACUCCGUGCCAGCAGCCGCGGUAAUACGGAGGGUGCAAGCGUAAUCGGAAUUACUGGGCGUAAAGCGCACGCAGGCGGUUUGUUAAGUCAGAUGUGAAAUCCCCGGGCUCAACCUGGGAACUGCAUUUGAAACUGGCAAGCUAGAGUCUCGUAGAGGGGGGUAGAAUUCCAGGUGUAGCGGUGAAAUGCGUAGAGAUCUGGAGGAAUACCGGUGGCGAAGGCGGCCCCCCUGGACGAAGACUGACGCUCAGGUGCGAAAGCGUGGGGCAGCAAACAGGAUUAGAUACCCUGGUAGUCCAGCGCUGUAAAACGAUGUCGAUUUGGAGGUUGUGCCCUUGAGGCGUGGCUUCCGGAGCUAACGCGUUAAAUCGACCGCCUGGGGAGUACGGCCGCAAGGUUAAAACUAAAG
rnacentral:rRNA from 1 species